GAUGAACGCUGGCGGCGUGCCUAAUACAUGCAAGUCGAGCGAACGGACGAGAAGCUUGCUUCUCUGAUGUUAGCGGCGGACGGGUGAGUAACACGUGGAUAACCUACCUAUAAGACUGGGAUAACUUCGGGAGACCGGAGCUAAUACCGGAUAAUAUUUUGAACCGCAUGGUUCAAAAGUGAAAGACGGUCUUGCUGUCACUUAUAGAUGGAUCCGCGCUGCAUUAGCUAGUUGGUAAGGUAACGGCUUACCAAGGCAACGAUGCAUAGCCGACCUGAGAGGGUGAUCGGCCACACUGGAACUGAGACACGGUCCAGACUCCUACGGGAGGCAGCAGUAGGGAAUCUUCCGCAAUGGGCGAAAGCCUGACGGAGCAACGCCGCGUGAGUGAUGAAGGUCUUCGGAUCGUAAAACUCGGUUAUUAGGGAAGAACAUAUGUGUAAGUAACUGUGCACAUCUUGACGGUACCUAAUCAGAAAGCCACGGCUAACUACGUG
rnacentral:rRNA from 1 species